rnacentral:rRNA from 1 species
GAUCAUGAAUCAGGAUGAACGCUAGCUACAGGCUUAACACAUGCAGGUCGAGGGGAAACGACAUCGAAAGCUUGCUUCCGAUGGGCGUCGACCGGCGCACGGGUGAGUAACGCGUAUCCAACCUGCCCACCACUUGGGGAUAACCUUGCGAAAGUAAGACUAAUACCCAAUGAUAUCUCUAGAAGACAUCUGAAAGAGAUUAAAGAUUUAUCGGUGAUGGAUGGGGAUGCGU